rnacentral:rRNA from 1 species
GGAUGCGAUCAUACCAGCACUAAAGCACCGGAUCCCAUUAGAACUCCGAAGUUAAGCGUGCUUGGGCGAGAGUAGUACUAGGAUGGGUGACCUCCUGGGAAGUCCUCAUGUUGCAUUCC